GCUUACGGCCAUACCACCCUGAACGCGCCCGAUCUCGUCUGAUCUCGGAAGCCAAGCAGGGUCGGGCCUGGUCAGUACUUGGACGGGAGACCGCCUGGGAAUACCAGGUGCUGUAAGCU
ensembl:rRNA 5S_rRNA 5S ribosomal RNA